rnacentral:rRNA from 1 species
UUGAACGCUGGCGGCAGGCCUAACACAUGCAAGUCGAAUGGUAACAGGAAACAGCUUGCUGUUUCGCUGACGAGUGGCGGACGGGUGAGUAAUGUCUGGGAAACUGCCUGAUGGAGGGGGAUAACUACUGGAAACGGUAGCUAAUACCGCAUAACGUCGCAAGACCAAAGAGGGGGACCUUCGGGCCUCUUGCCAUCAGAUGUGCCCAGAUGGGAUUAGCUAGUAGGUGGGGUAACGGCUCACCUAGGCGACGAUCCCUAGCUGGUCUGAGAGGAUGACCAGCCACACUGGAACUGGGACACGGUCCAGACUCCUACGGGAGGCAGCAGUGGGGAAUAUUGCACAAUGGGCGCAAGCCUGAUGCAGCCAUGCCGCGUGUAUGAAGAAGGCCUUCGGGUUGUAAAGUACUUUCAGCGGGGAGGAAGGGAGUAAAGUUAAUACCUUUGCUCAUUGACGUUACCCGCAGAAGAAGCACCGGCUAACUCCGUG